AGUGAACGCUGGCGGUAGGCCUAACACAUGCAAGUCGAACGGCAGCACAGUAAGAGCUUGCUCUUACGGGUGGCGAGUGGCGGACGGGUGAGGAAUACAUCGGAAUCUACUUUUUCGUGGGGGAUAACGUAGGGAAACUUACGCUAAUACCGCAUACGACCUACGGGUGAAAGCAGGGGAUCUUCGGACCUUGCGCGAUUGAAUGAGCCGAUGUCGGAUUAGCUAGUUGGCGGGGUAAAGGCCCACCAAGGAGACGAUCCGUAGCUGGUCUGAGAGGAUGAUCAGCCACACUGGAACUGAGACACGGUCCAGACUCCUACGGGAGGCAGCAGUGGGGAAUAUUGGACAAUGGGCGCAAGCCUGAUCCAGCCAUACCGCGUGGGUGAAGAAGGCCUUCGGGUUGUAAAGCCCUUUUGUUGGGAAAGAAAAGCAGCAGGUUAAUACCCCGCUGUUCUGACGGUACCCAAAGAAUAAGCACCGGCUAACUUCGUG
rnacentral:rRNA from 1 species